GAACACACCUGUCGUUUUGUCCUUACCCCAAGUGAAGGAGUUCAAGUACCUGAGGGUCUUGUUCGUGAGUGAGGGGACAAUGGAACGUGAGAUAGGCUGGAGAAUCGGAGCAGCGGGGGGCAGUAUUGCAUUCGCUUUACCGCACCGUUGUGACGAAAAGAGAGCUGAGCCGGAAGGCAAAGCUCUCGAUCUACCGGAAAAUCUUCGUUCCUACUAUCA